CUCCGGUUGAUCCCGCCGGACCCGACUGCUAUCAGAGUGGGACUAAGCCAUGCGAGUCAACAUAGCAAUAUGUGGCAUACGGCUCAGUAACACGUAGUCAACAUGCCCAGGGGACGUGGAUAACCUCGGGAAACUGAGGAUAAACCACGAUAGGUCAUCACUUCUGGAAUGGGUAAUGACUUAAAUCUAUAUGGCCCCUGGAUUGGACUGCGGCCGAUCAGGCUGUUGGUGAGGUAAUGGCCCACCAAACCUGUAACCGGUACGGGCUCUGAGAGGAGGAGCCCGGAGAUGGGCACUGAGACAAGGGCCCAGGCCCUAUGGGGCGCAGCAGGCGCGAAACCUCUGCAAUAGGCGAAAGCUUGACAGGGUUACUCUGAGUGAUUUCCGUUAAGGAGAUCUUUUGGCACCCCUAAAAAUGGUGCAGAAUAAGGGGUGGGCAAGUCUGGUGUCAGCCGCCGCGGUAAUACCAGCACCCCGAGUGGUCGGGACGUUUAUUGGGCCUAAAGCAUCCGUAGCCGGUUCUACAAGUCUUCCGUUAAAUCCACCUGCUUAACAGAUGGGCUGCGGAAGAUACUAUAGAGCUAGGAGGCGGGAGAGGCAAGCGGUACUCGAUGGGUAGGGGUAAAAUCCGUUGAUCCAUUGAAGACCACCAGUGGCGAAGGCGGCUUGCCAGAACGCGCUCGACGGUGAGGGAUGAAAGCUGGGGGAGCAAACCGGAUUAGAUACCCGGGUAGUCCCAGCUGUAAACGAUGCAGACUCGGUGAUGAGUUGGCUUAUUGCUAACUCAGUGCCGCAGGGAAGCCGUUAAGUUUGCCGCCUGGGGAGUACGGUCGCAAGACUGAAACUUAAAGGAUUGGNCGGGGGAGCA
rnacentral:rRNA from 1 species